CAUUUUCAACUUGCUUCUCAAGUUUGCUCGGUGUCGCUCGCGACUGGCUCUAGUUGUACUCAGCCAGCUAUCCUUGGUGUGGGGGUUUGAUCGACGGAGCCGUCACAACGGCGCCUAUGGCGAAGCCUUCCGUACAGACUCAUUUCGUCUUGGACGCGAUGGCCGCGGAGAGGGUGAAAGUCGCGGAGAACUGGGAGCGGGCGUUGGAUUCGUUGGAGAACAUGAAUCAGCGCCUGGGAAAGUUCGCCAAGGUCCAGCGCCAGUUGGUGGAGCAGUCGGAGGUCGCGGCGCAGGCGGCCAAGCAGGCGGCGAAGGAGCGUUCUGUUCUGUCGCGUCAAGUGGAGGAAUCUGGGCAGCUGCUGGCGCGGGUACAGCUGGAAUCCAUGGCGGCGGAGACGGAGAAGUCCAGGAGGAGCGGAUCCACCAGCCCGUCAUCUAGGUCUUCACCCCCUGUUCAGGUACGGAAGGGUCCUCAGAAGGGUGUUCAGAUCAAUCCACUGCCUGAGAUGUCAUUCCCAAAGUUUGAUGGUGCUAAUCCGAGAGUUUGGUUGGACAAGUGUUUGGAUUACUUCCAUAUUUUCAAGGUUUCUGAAGCUAUGUGGGUACAAGUGGCGUCUCUGCACUUGGAAGGGAUUGCUGCUCGCUGGUUUCACGUGCAUAGACUGAAACAGAGGACGGGGUGGAAUCAUUUUACUCGGGAUGUGUUGAACAAGUUUGGCGCAGACGAGUAUCCAAAGGCGAUGAGGAGAUUGAUGGGUCUCAGGCAGACGGGGUCACUGGACGAGUUUGUGCGGGCGUUCGAGGAAGCACGGUACAUGGUAUCGCUGCAUAACCCAAAGUUGGGUGAGGUGCUCUUUGUCACUCAGUUUAUUUGGGGUCUGGAGUAUGAUUUGCAAGGGGCGGUGCAAUCUCAGAUGCCCACCACUUUGGAUCGAGCAGUACUAAUUGCCAAGUUGCAGGAUGAACUGAAUGAUCAAUACAAAGGAAGGUCGACAAGGUCAGUGUUCCAGUCGAGGUCCUCGUCCACAGCAGUCAAGGCCAAGGCGAUCAGUGGUACUACUGGUAAAGGGUGCAUGAAGGUGCGGGGUCUUUUGAAGAACAAAGUUACGUUGCUGUUGUCAAUUCAUUCCGGGAGUCCUACUUGCUUUAUCAACAAGAAUCUGGUGGCUCGGGCUCGUUUGUCUGCUGUUUCUUGUCCUCCAGCCAGGUUCACAUUGGCAAAUGGCGAGUCCCUAACGUCGGAUUUGUUGGUUCCUCAGCUUGCCUGGUGCGCAAAUGGCCACACGUUCCACACUGAUAUGAGAGUGUUGGAUCUGGGACCGUAUGACGCCAUCUUGGGUUAUGACUGGCUGAAAUCACAUAGCCCUAUGGAAUGUGAUUGGGCAAACAAGGUCUUGGUCUUUCAUGAUGCAGGGGUGGAGGUUACUUUGAAAGGGGAUGAUGAUAAUAUCAAGAAGGAGGUGCAGGAGGUUUCAGCCAUUUGCCACAAGUGUUGAUCAGAUGGUCCAAUCUAUCGGUGGACUCGUCGACUCGGGAAGAUUACUAUAUGGUUAAGCGGUAUCCUAAUGCCGCUGUUUCGGUACAAACAGUAUCUGAAGGUCUGUGUGUGUCUGGGUGGGGGGCAUGUUCAGAGCUGAGCGCUGGACAAGUGAAGCUGAUGAGGAGUGAUGGCGUAGUGUCAUAGGGCGUUUUCUAUUUUACGUUUUCCAGUUGGGUUGGCGUCUUUAGGCGCAUACUGUCCCGAACAACCCGUGCGUGCAGCAAGUCGCUGAUGGGAGGUUACCUCAGCUCAUAGUUUAUGGAACAGACUACAACACGAAGAAUGGAACUAGGGUGCGUGAUUACAUGUAGUCAGUCGACCAUCUAAUCAGGGGAUGCUGCGAUGGGCCUCGUUUCUUCGACGUUAUGAGGAGGGAGUAGGGGUCCCAUCUCAUCCAUCCAUCUUGUUGUUCUUUUUCUUCAAAUCAUUCCGAUCGGCUGAUCCGAAGACUACUCGUGCUGCCAUGCGCUCUGAAUCUGCAUGAUCGUUCCACUCAGAGCUGCUACUCUAAGACAAGACGCGUAAAAUCCACGCGCUUUAAUUUGAGCUUAACGAAAAUCUUUGGAUCUGAGAGACUGAGACGAGCAUCUAAAAUUAUAUGAAAUUGCUCU